UACGUAGGUGGCGAGCGUUAUCCGGAUUUACUGGGUGUAAAGGGUGUGUAGGCGGACGUACAAGUCAGAUGUGAAAAGCCACGGCUCAACCGUGGUCCUGCAUUUGAAACUGUACGCCUUGAGAGUGGGAGAGGUAAGCGGAAUUCCCGGUGUAGCGGUGAAAUGCGUAGAGAUCGGGAGGAACACCAGUGGCGAAGGCGGCUUACUGGACCACAACUGACGCUGAGACACGAAAGCGUGGGGAG
rnacentral:rRNA from 1 species